GCCAGACUCCUACGGGAGGCAGCAGUGGGGAAUAUUGCACAAUGGGCGAAAGCCUGAUGCAGCAACGCCGCGUGAAGGAAGAAGGGUUUCGGCUCGUAAACUUCUAUCAACAGGGACGAAAGAAAUGACGGUACCUGAAUAAGAAGCACCGGCUAACUCCGUGCCAGCAGCCGCGGUAAUACGGAGGGGGCAAGCGUUGUCCGGAAUCAUUGGGCGUAAAGAGUUCGUAGGUGGCAUAUUAAGUCUGGUGUUAAAUGCAGAAGCUCAACUUCUGUUCGGCACUGGAUACUGGUAAGCUUGAAUGCGGUAGAGGUAAAGGGAAUUCCUGGUGUAGCGGUGAAAUGCGUAGAUAUCGGGAGGAACAUCGGUGGCGUAAGCGCUUUACUGGGCCGUAAUUGACACUGAGGAACGAAAGCCGGGGUAGCAAAUGGGAUUAGAUACCCGAGUACG
rnacentral:rRNA from 1 species